GACAGACUCUCAGCAUCUCUUCUGUGGGAUGGUCUCUGGAGUUUUGCUUUCACAGACAGGUUUCAUGGACAGAAGUGUACAUCAGACUUACUGUCAGAUAAUUCCAGAUGCCAUCCAGAUGCUGCAAUCAUAUGAACAAACAGCAAAGGAUACUGUCCUUGAAGAUCUCUUUCUUGUAGUUUCUUGCCGCCUCUUGUGUGUGUACAUAUGCACAUGUACACAGAUAUUCAGGCAUACUCUCCUAGAAGAUACUUUAUACGUGCAAGUUUGAAUAAUGGAUCAACUUCCCUCUUGAAGGUAGUCUUGGUUCUGAAAUUUUUGCUGAAUAUUAAAACUGUUGCUUAUAUUGCAAAUGUAAGACCUCUGAGAUUUUCCAGAGUCAUUCUGCACGAGAACUUUGUUCAUUCACCAAUUAAA